GAUGAACGCUAGCGGCAGGCUUAACACAUGCAAGUCGAGGGGUAUGGUUCUUCGGAACCAGAGACUGGCGCACGGGUGCGUAACGCGUAUGCAAUCUACCUUUUACAGAGGGAUAGCCCAGAGAAAUUUGGAUUAAAUACCUCCAUAGUAUAACAUGACCGCCAUGGUCGAGUUAUUAAAGUACACAACGGUAAAGGAAU
rnacentral:rRNA from 1 species